rnacentral:lncRNA from 1 species
GUUUUUGCCUGUCAUGGAGUUCCGUUCAUUCUGAACAUGUCACCGGGGACUUUGGAAUGUGUAUCCAUAACUCCCUGAUUUUCAACCACAUUCCAGCCUGCCUGACUCAUGAAGCGUGGAGCGACCCAGGAACAUCCCAGCUCCUCAUGUCCCACAUUCUUCAGGCUUUCUCUUAGUUUUGGCAUGUGCAUGUAAAUGUCAACAGAUGGAGUCUCGCUCUGUCACGCAGGCUGGAGCACAGUGGUGUGAUCUUGGCUCACUGCAACCUCUGUCUCCUGGGUUGAACUGAUUCUCCCGCCUCAGCCUCUCAAGUAGCUGGGACUACAGGCGCCCGCCACCAGGCCUGGCUAAUAUUUGUAUUUUUGUAGAGAUGGGGGUUUCACCAUGUUAGCCAGGCUGGUCUCGAACUCCUGACCUCAGGUGAUCUACCCGCCUCGGCCCCUCAAAGUGCUGGGAUUACAGGCGUGAGCCAUCACGCCCAGCUGGCUAUAACCCUAUCUUUAGGCCAACUUGUACCCGGCUCCACUAUGGAACUCAGUGUCGAAGUGCCCGGGCUUCCUGCCCUGGUUCUGGAGAUGGGUGGUGGCAAUGGCUGCACAACAGUGUGAAGGUAGUAAUGGCCACAGAACUGUGCCCUUCACAGUGGCUAAAAGAGCACAUUUUAUGUUAUGUCUGUUGCACCCCAAUGAAAACAAAUAGCAAACGUUCUGAUAUUCCCUCCAAACCAGCUGCUUCUGCUGACUCCUCGUCUCAAUUAAUCGCGGCUCUGUCUUCCGUUUGCUGAAGCCGAAGACCUCCCCGCUCUCUCAGAGCCCAUGUCUGGCACAUCAGCGAAUCUCGUUGGCACUGCCGUCAAACACAUCCAUCUAGGAUCUCCCCGCACUUCACGCCACCCACCGCGCUAGUCUGUGGAUCCCUGUUUCUCUCUUGGAUGUAGUAAUAGUCACAUAGCUGGACUUCUGCCCUGGCACUUCUUCAGCCCCUUGUUAGAGGAAUCCUGCUAAAUGUUGGAUGAUUUACCCCCCACCUCCCGCACCCCCCGCCACACACACAUAGGAGCUCCACUGGCUCCUCAUAACUCUCAGGGUGCCAGCCUGUCUCUGCCAUGACCCGAAAGCUCUCCGUCAUCUGUCUCCCGCCCCUCCCUCACUGACUCUAUCUGCCACCCUCUCCCUGUUGUCCACGCUGCCCCAGCCCCACAGGCCUCCUCCUGUUCCUCAGACUCCCCAGGGAUACUCCUGCCUCAGGGCCUUUGCCCUGGCUAUUCCCUCCAGCUACAAUGCUCUUCCUGAAUCUGCAUGAUUCGAUGCCCACUCCCCCAUUCUCAGCCUGUCCCCACAUCUCAGUGAGCCCUGCCCGGGCCACCCUGGAAAAUCUCAGCAUCCCAGGCUGGGCGUGGUGGCUCAUGCCUGUAAUCUCAGCACCUUGGGAGGCCAAGGCAGGCAGAUUGCUUGAGCUCAGGAGUUUGAGACCAGCCUGGCCAACAUGGCGAAACCCCAUCUCUCCUAAAAAUACAAAAAUUAGCUGAGUGUGGUGGUGCGUGCCUGUAAUCACAGCUACUUGGGAGGCUGAGGCAGCAGAAUCGAUUGAACCUGGGAGGCAGAGGUUUCAGUGAGCCGAGAUCAUGCCACUGCACUCCAGCCUGGGCGACAGAGCGAGACUCCAUCUAACACACACAAAAAAAGCACUUUUUUUUCAUCCUCCCAGCACUUCUUGUCCUCCUUGCUUCCCUUGUUUUUUUUUUUUUUCACAUUCACACAUAUGAUGAUCCAGCAUUCUACAUAUUUUAUUUAUCUUAUUUAUUUUCAGUCUUCUCCACUCAAAUGUAUGAUAUUUAAGGCAGGGGUUUUAAAAUGUCUUGUUCUUGGCCAGGCAUGGUGGCUCACACGUGUAAUUCUAGCACUUUGGGAGGCCGAGGCAGGUGGAGCACCUGAGGUCAGGAGUUCAAGACCAGCCUGGUCAACAUGGCGAAACCCCGUCUCUACUAAAAAUACGAAAUUAGCCAGGCGUGGUGGCGGACGCCUGUAAUCCCAGCUAUAAUCCCAGCUACUCAGGAGGCUGAAGCAGGAGAAUCGCUUGAACCUGGGAGGCAGAGCUUGCAGUGAGCCGAGAUCACGCCACUACACUGCAGCCUGGGUGACAGAGUGAGACUCCAUCUCAAAAAACAACAACAAAAUAAAUAAAUAAAUAAAAAUAAAAUGUCUUGUUCUCUUUUUUCCUCCAG